AAACAAAAAAAACUAGGAAUUAAUAAAAUUCCUAAAUAAUAGACUUAAUAAGAAUAAAAUUAUUAUAGAAUAAAACUCUUAAAUUUCCUCAUUUUACAUGGAACAUAAUUCCUAAAUUGUGUUAGGAUAUCAUCUUCCUAAUUUGCAUUAUUGGUUUGAUACUAUUUCCCAUGUUUUUCAAUUGUGAUUUUCAUUGUGGUUUCAAAGUUUGCUAAAUAGGUCUUUUCACCAUUUCAAUCUCAAAAUAUAUACAUUCAAUGUGCAUAUAGUCCUUUAAGAUGAUCAGUGUCAAAAUUGUUUGAAAAUAACAAGUCUGCAUUAGGAAAAUCUUAGUAGUGUGACUUUGUAAUCUGCAAUUGCAAUUUUCUGUGAGAUAAUAAAUUUUAACAAUGUGUUAUUUUAUCCUUUUAAUAAAAGAGUGUUUGGCUUAACUUAUAAACUGAUCAAACCAACUUAUAAGUUCUAAUUUUUAGCUAAUCCGUUUGUUUUAAAGAUUUUCAAAGCUUAUAAGUAAA
rnacentral:misc_RNA from 1 species